rnacentral:rRNA from 1 species
UACGGAGGGUGCAAGCGUUGUUCGGAAUUACUGGGCGUAAAGGGUGUGCAGGCGGCUAGGUAAGUCCUAUGUGAAAUCCCUCGGCUCAACCGAGGACGUGCAUCGGAUACUGCUUAGCUUGAGUCUCGGAGAGGGGGGUGGAAUUCCCGGUGUAGAGGUGAAAUUCGUAGAUAUCGGGAGGAACACCAGUGGCGAAGGCGACCCCCUGGACGAUGACUGACGCUGAUACA